rnacentral:rRNA from 1 species
ACUCCUACGGGAGGCAGCAGUGGGGAAUAUUGCACAAUGGGGGAAACCCUGAUGCAGCCAUGCCGCGUGUGUGAAGAAGGCCUUCGGGUUGUAAAAGCAUCUUUCAGUAAGGGAGGAAGGUACGGUGUAGUUAACACCUGCACUAUUUGACGUUACCUACAGAAGAAGCACCGGCUAACUCCGUGCCAGCAGCCGCGGUAAUACGGAGGGUGCGAGCGUUAAUCGGAAUUACUGGGCGUAAAGCGCAUGCAGGCGGCCUGUUAAGUCAGAUGUGAAAGCCCGGGGCUUAACCUCGGAAUUGGCAUUUGAAACUGGUAGGCUAGAGUCUUGUAGAGGGGGGUGAGAAUU